AAAUGGGCGAUGAGUAGGGCCAGUAAACCAUGAAUGGUAGCCAGAGAGUGAAACCCAGGGGCUGGAAGGUUUCAUUACCCUCUUCAUGGUUGAACCUACCCUAUGAGCUGUUAGGAAAACCUAAACGCAUCACCGGCGUUAUCGGUGCAGAGGUGGGCUCUUUUUCGGGAUAGUUGCCGGCAGAGCCAAAAAAGGUGGUACCGCGGAAUAAAAGACCUUCCGUCCUUUUU
rnacentral:ncRNA from 1 species